CACCUCCACCACCAACAAACUAUUUCAAGCAAACUCCUACCUAUGUGUCACCAGCACCGCCUCAGAAGUACGAGCAAUCCACCACCUAUGCUUCACCUCCACCCCCAUCAGCAUCUCCUCCUCCGACCUACUACUAAUUUUAACUAUUCAGUCAUUUUCGCCAUUUAAUUCCAUGAUUUUUAUUCCUUUUUGGCCUUUUUUGGCAAACUCCAUUUCCUCAGCCAAAAUUUGAUGUAUGCUUCUCGAAAUGAUCGGGUUUGCUUAUUAUGUGUUCAAUGUUCUUUUGU
rnacentral:lncRNA from 1 species